AAGUCGUAACAAGGUUUCCGUAGGUGAACCUGCGGAAGGAUCAUUAAUAAUUUGUAUUUUCUUCGGAAAUUCAUACUUGUGAACUGGUGAAUUAUGACUUGCUCAUAAUUCAUGCUAUUUUGUACUUUUUGUAUUUUUAAAUAGAAUUAAAAUCUAUGACAACUUUCAGCAAUGGAUCUCUUGGCUCUU
rnacentral:misc_RNA from 1 species